GCCGCAGGGCUGGGUGCGCUCCCGGUGAGCGGUGCUGUCUGUCUGUCUGUCUGUCCGUCCGUCCGCGGGCUCGGGAGACUCGGAUUUGUCUUGGCUGCGGCUCUGACAUGCCUGGGAAGGGCAAGGAAAGGAAAUGGACGAGACACGCCGGGAGUUUCUCCCGUUUCCCUGCGCUCCCAGCCGAGGGGGAGUUGUUGGUACAAGAGCGUGUAAGGAUGGUGUAAGGUGUGUGUGGGACUCUGCGCUCGGAGCAAGCAGGAUCCACACAGCUUUUGGAAACGUUCCCACAUUUCAUUUCACACUCCCGGAGUUUUGAUCUCAGUGUGGUUGUUUAUGAUUUAAAACAAAUUUUUUUUGCUGUCCCCGAGCAGUUUGGCCCAGUGGGAGGUUGCCCUACCAAUCCAGAUGAGGUGAUUUGUGCAGGUGCCUCCCAACCACAGCUCUUUUAUGAUCCUGGAAUUUAUUUUCCACACUCUUCACGUUCCAGGUCCAUCUCGACAAGUGAUGAUCCCACUCUAAGUAUUACUAUAAACACCUUUUUAAUCUGCUUUACCUUUAUUCUGCCUGCCUUGGAAACUUUGAGACAGAAAAACCCCGCAGGUGCCUCUUUCCCUUUAUUAGAAUAAAAUUACAGGAUUCCUCUGUCUCCUUCAUGGACACUGGCUUUUCCCAGAGGGAUUUUCCCUACAGGAGGGUGCAGCCUCCUUUUAUCCUGGUCAGAUGUUUGUUGCCCUCUUCCUUUCCCUGUGGAAAACCCGACCCAUGGAAUUGUGGAGACAUCAACACACAUCCUCCCUUAUCCCAACCCAACCCGUUCUGGGAUUCUCUGAGAACAGGGAUUCAUGUUUGAAGGAGAGAACCCUUGGCAGCCCCAUUUUGCUUUGAAACCUCUCCACAGCCAGGAAUUUUUAAUUUUUCUACCUUGGCUCUGCGGCAGGGUUUGCCAGCCAGUGCUGCUCUGCUGUCCCGCUCCCUUUGAAGCCACCUCAGGGACAGGUUUCCCUGUUUUUAGACAGGGAAACCUCGGGAAGCAGCUGGGCUGGGGGGUUUUGGUUGGCCAAAGGUGGCAUCCCGAUAAAGACGGGAUGGGAAGGUCAACAAAAAUGAGACACGGAGGGGAGGAAGAACCAAAUACACCACUUGCUCCUUGCUGGAGCAAGUUCAGCAAAGGGCCACAAAAAUGACUGAGGGAGCAUCUGUCACAUGGAAAGGAGCUGGGAAAAAAAUGGGAAUUCCACCUGGAGAAGGGAAAGUCCAGGAGGUUCUUAUCAGUGGGAAAAAAAAAAUUAUAAAGAAAGAAUAAAGGGUCUGGAGACAAAUUUUAUUUUGUCGUGAACAAAACAAUCUCCCCCUGGUUUGGGAAAGGAAACGUGGGAAGCUCGCAGCCCGUGGAUUUGGGGAGAGGAGCGCGAGCAGCCACUUUCUCAUCCCGCUCCUGCCGUUCCAAGGCUGGUGUGAAAAGGAAAAUAACAACACCAACUCUGCCCAGCGGCCGGGAUUUGCCAAUCCCGAGCUUUCCACAGCGGCUGGGAAGGACGGAAGCCUGCAAACCAUCCCGGCCGCGAGCUCCAAGCCCUGGCGGAACGCGAUCCCACCCGCGGGGACAAUCCGACGGACGCGGCGUUCCUUGUUGUUCCAACACCAUGGCAAUGUCUCCGGGAGGAAUACAAAUCACUCGGAGCAGGGAGGCAGAGCCAGCUGAGCAGGUACCAGGAAUGUGGGAGUUGCUCAUUACUCACCCGGGGGGAAGAGCUGCCGCUGGUUUUUUGGUUGUUGUUUUUUUUUUUUUAAUUACAUUUUUGCUCGCCCCUACUCGUCACCCCCACGCAGCAACGCCACUUUUUAUAGUGAAAAUAACGAGACAGAGCCCGAUCCAGGGAAUACUGAGCACAUCCUGAUUUUCCACUGGAUGUGUGAACCAGGUGGGACCCUUGUGCUGGCAGAUCUCCGGCCUCAUCAAAUCCUCAGUGGGUGCAAAUCUGCUGAAGUCAGUGAGGGCUUCUCAUCUAUCACUUGUUUUAUUAAUAUUGCUCUGUCUGCAAGUCUGGGCUCUCCAAGAACACAUCUUUUAUUUCACUGCCUCUCGUCGAAGGCAACGUGUGAGUGCUGAUUUUCCCGGGCUCAGGAUCAGCUCCAGCUCCUUCAUUGUUGCUUUUUUUCCCCCUCUCUCUCCCUCUCUCAUUUUUUAUGGCGGCGUUGGAAUUGCUGUCAGGUUUACAGUGCAGUAAUAAUCACCUCAUUAUUAUUAAUAACCAUGGCAACAGAAUGGAAAUUAAUCACUCCACUUCUGUUUAUCCCCAUGGAAACAGAGCCAAAACAAACAAGCCUCAUCCACAAUGCCCAUUCCUAGAAAUCAGACAUCCUGCAAAAUUCCCAGCUAAACAAACCAGCAGCUCCAGCUGCCUGGGCUAGCCAGGAGCACCUAUGGAGAGGGCAGGGAUAUUCUGUCAUGGAUGAUUCCUUGGGUUCAAAUCAGCAGGGGACAAAUAUUUUCAGGAAUUUUGCUUGGUUUAUUGGUUGGUUUCACUCUCCAGCUUCUGUCCUGGUGACUGAGUGCUGAGACACAGCGAUCCUUCUGCUUCCCAAUAAAAAAUGGGAUUCCUAGAAGGAUGGGAAGAGAACUGGGAGAAGGGUAUGGAGUGACAGGGGGAAUGGCCUUAAGGUGAAGGAGGGCAGGGCUGGGUGGGAGAUUGGGAAGGGAUUCCUGGCUGGGAGGAUGGGGAGGGGCUGGGAUGGAAUUCCCAGAGCAGCUGUGGUUGCCCCUGGAUCCCUGGAAGUGCCCAAGGCCAGGCUGGACAGGGCUUGGAUCACCUGGGGCAGUGGGAGGUGUCCCUACCAUGGCAGGGGGGUUGAAACCAGAACAUCUUUAAGGUCCUUUCCCAACCCAAACCAUUCUGCGAUUCCAUCACGAGUAGAACUAAAAUCACCAGGGAUUGGAAAGGAGGCUUCAAGGAAACAUUAAUUCCUGGAAAAUCUCCGGAGAUAACACUUCUUCCCAGGUGCCAGGCACUGCAGUAAAUUUCCAGGGAGGAAAAUAUUUAGGCAGAAUGUGAUGACAAACCAAAUAUUUUCUAUUUGUUCUGUCACCGUCCUUGUUAGCAGGAGGAAUGGGGGACGCAGCCCUCACUCUCAUUCCCUAUGCACAGAAGUGAAACUCCCAAGAUUUUUUUUUUUUUCCCAUAGGAAAAUCCCUGUUUUUCCCCAGCCAUUCCUCACUCAGAUUCAGCACAGCAGUGGCUGCCUGUCCCCCCUGCCCCGCCAAUUAACCGUGUUUUAUUUAGGCUGUCACCAACAGAUAAUCUGAGCUUGCGUCUGCUUUUGCCUCCAGCCUAAUGACACACCCGGGAGACCAAUCCCGGAAUUUCAAAGGAAAGAAUUCCUCCCUGGGACGGUCCCAGGGACUCUGCCGGCUCUUAUCUGCAGAUGCAGCAGCACAGAUUGGGGGCGGUGAGGAAAGACGAGAGAGGCAGGGAAAAUCAGGAUGGUGAAACCCGCAGCCCUCCCGGGAUCCCUUCUGCACCAGGAUCCGCUCGGGCUGAAACCCUCCGGGCAGCUGAAAUCAGCUGCGUGCUGGGAACGUUUUAUUUUCCUUUAAAAAAGUGGAACUCCACUGUGUGGAGCAGGAAAACGAAGCUGCCACGUCUUCCAGAGCCUCGAGAGGUUUUGAUGGAUCUUCCCGACGGGCUGUGGAGUCUCCCACAGCUCUGGAAAAUCCCGAAAUCAGCCUCUCACCUCCUCUCUCACCUAAAAAAUGGGGACAAACCCCCUCUUUUUUCCCUUCUAAACGUUCCCCACACCCUGUGUACAUUUUUUGGACACACUAGAUCCGUUUUGGAGUUCUCCUGUUGUCCUGUGGAUUUGUGCAGAGCUCCUGAAUCCCGUUCAAACGCAGGAAUUAAACCUGGAAAUGACAGAGGGAACAGCCCUAGAACAAUCUGCUUUGAUAUUUAACUGACCUUUUAAGCUUCCCAAAAAGGCAGGGAGAGUGUAAUUAACUGGGAUGAAUCCCAUCUGAACUUCCUCCAGCCGGUCCUCCUGAAUCCAAUUAAACACAACUUUUCCAUGUGGAGGUACAGUUCAGGAGAGAUGGAUGUUGCUGUUGGGCAGUGGAAAGUCACUCCGAAGGGUUUUCUGCCUGUUUUAUGCAGUUCCCUCCUAGAAUUAGGAUUUUUUUUUUUUUAAUCCAGGAGACACCAGCACUGACAGAUCCCUGAAAUUCCAGGUCCUGUGUCUCCCAAAACACCAAAGAGGAUCAUCAAACGAGGAUUAAUCAUCUUUUAACAUUCACAUCAAGAUUUCCCAGGGAGAAGAAACCAAAACUUCUCCACAUUUAUAACAAGAGCUCCAAAAGAGUUGGAAAGAGGCUUUGGGAGAAGGCCUGGAGGGGCAGGACACAGGGAAUGGCUCCCACUGCCAGAGGGCAGGGCUGGGUGGGAGAUUGGGAAGGGAUUCCUGGCUGGGAGGGAGGGGAGGGGCUGGGCUGGGAUUCCCAGAGCAGCUGUGGCUGCCCCUGCAUCCCUGGAGUGUCCAAGGCCAGACUGGAUCACCCUGGGACAGUGGGAGGUGUCCCUGCCCAUGGAUGACCCUUAGGAGGCCCCUUCCAGUCCAAACAAUUCCCUGGUGCCAUGAAUCCCAUCUUUGGGAAGCUUGCAGGAAGACUCCCUCCCUAAAACCCUCUUCUCUACCCCACAGGAAAAUGAAAGGAAUUACCUGGAGAUCCAUCCCGGGGAACUUCACCGGUUUUGCAGUUAAAGGUGUGAUUUUGUGUACGGAAGGAUUAUUAAAUUCCAAGGUGACACAAGCAGGUGCCUGCUCCAUUUGGGAAUUCCCAAAUCUAUUGUUGACCCCAAAGAAAUGUUCUUUCAGUGGGUGUAGCAUGAGAUCCACAACAAAUUCCUUGCUUUAGGGCCUGAAUUUUUCCCAAAAUUCUCACUACGCUUUUCCUGGGAUUUCUGUUUCCUGCCAGAAACAGAACUGGCAGGCAGUGCCUGUGUUAUCCCAGCUUCCAGGAGGCAAGAUUCCAACAAAAUCAUGAGAGCAGGAGGGAUGGUGGAGUUUUGUAGUUGCCCAGGAAGGCUCUGGGAAUUCCUUCCUUGGGGAGGUUUGGAAAAAUCCCAGGCGGUUUUAUGGCAGAGGGGUUUCUUUCCCAGGGAUGGAAUUUGGUGUAGGUGACCUUAUUCCAUCCUCCUCAUCCACUGAUCCAAUAUUUUAUGCACUAAUUCCAAUUUAGUUCCCUAAAAUUGAUA